rnacentral:rRNA from 1 species
UACGUAGGAGGCGAGCGUUGUCCGGAAUUACUGGGUGUAAAGCGCGCGUAGGUGGCAGGCCAAGUCUGUGGUGAAAGCGCCCGGCUCAACUGGGCAUGGUCCAUGGAAACUGGUCAGCUGGAGGACGGUAGAGGCGAGUGGAAUUCCUGGUGUAGCGGUGAAAUGCGCAGAUAUCAGGAAGAACACCCGUGGCGAAGGCGGCUCUCUGGGACGGUACUGACGCUGAGACGCGAAAGCGUGGGGAGCGAACAGG